rnacentral:rRNA from 1 species
GAUGAACGCUGGCGGCGUGCCUAAUACAUGCAAGUCGAACGCUGAAGGAGGAGCUUGCUCUUCUGGAUGAGUUGCGAACGGGUGAGUAACGCGUAGGUAACCUGCCUGGUAGCGGGGGAUAACUAUUGGAAACGAUAGCUAAUACCGCAUGACAACAGUUAUUGCAUGAUAACUGUUUAAAAGGGGCAACUGCUCCACUACCAGAUGGACCUGCGUUGUAUUAGCUAGUUGGUGAGGUAACGGCUCACCAAGGCGACGAUACAUAGCCGACCUGAGAGGGUGAUCGGCCACACUGGGACUGAGACACGGCCCAGACGCCUACGGGAGGCAGCAGUAGGGAAUCUUCGGCAAUGGACGGAAGUCUGACCGAGCAACGCCGCGUGAGUGAAGAAGGUUUUCGGAUCGUAAAGCUCUGUUGUAAGAGAAGAACGAGUGUGAGAGUGGAAAGUUCACACUGUGACGGUAUCUUACCAGAAAGGGACGGCUAACUACGUG